AAUGAUGGAAUCUGAUGGCUCUGAGAACUCCAGACAACUUCCUGGCAGAGAACAUGUUCAGCUAAAAGGCAAGAACAGAACACAAGGAAGUAAAGAAACAAAUUAUUUUGGAAACAUUAACUAAAGCCCGCAUCCGAGGACAGCACUCGGAUAUCCCUUGGACAGAUGGCAACACUGAGCACUGCUCAAGGUACAAGGACAAAGUUAACAGCCCUGACUCGUAGGGUUUCUGCUCUUCUAUCCUGGUGUGAAGGACAGCUGCAUAAGGGGGCUUGUAAAGAGCCCAGAAAGACCUGAGCAUGCAAAGUCUUUCCCAGUUAUUUCCAAGGCCAGGUGAGCCGAGCCUGUGCCCAGUACUGUGUGUAACUGUGAUCAUAAGGAAGAAGCGCAUCCUGCUCGCUCGCUGUGCGGUGCCACCCUGCCCGUCCCUGGGCCCUGCGGAGGUGUGGGGCGCGACUCUCUUUU